CUGAAAGGAAGAAGGAUGGAGAGCAAGAAGGAGACCAGAGAAGGCACAUGGAGCAGAGAGCCAUGUGAAGAACUGCACUUGCUUCUCCAUCCUGGGCUGGUGGUAACAGAUGUGGGUGAGAGAGCCGUGGCGAGUGGGUAGAGAGAAAGAAAAAGAGGAAGAAGGUUGCUCAUUGGAGGGUUUUAUGAUCCUGACUUGGAAAUAGAACUUGUUGCUGGCCACCACCUUCUGCUAUCCAGAUAGUGACAGGAGUGCUCACAAGUGCAGAGGAGCCUGGAAAGUAUAGCGCCAGGAUGGAAGGGUGAAUUUGCCAAAAUUUCCGCUGCAUGGUAAUUUCAUAGAAUACAAGACCAAGAUUUUGACUCUGAGAGAGCCAAGGAUGGACAAAAGAGCAAGUGAGUCAAUAGUCAUGGAGGCUAAUGAAGACACAAGCAAGAUAAAUACCCAGAAGUGAAAUAACUGGAUUGUAUGGAAUUUUAAUUUUUUGAAAAUCUUCAUACUGCUUUUCAUAACAUUCUUACUCACGGUGCCUAAGUGUUCUCUCCAUAUCCACUCCAACACUUAUUUCUUGUCUUUUGGAUAAUAGUCAUUCUCACAGGUGUGAACGUGUUAUUGUUUUGAUUUGCAUUUCUCUAGUAAUAAGAGAUGAUAAAUAACUUUUUAUGUAUCUAGUCACCAUUUGUAUGUUUUCUUUGGAGGAAGUGUCUAUUCAGAUACCUGUUCCUA